rnacentral:rRNA from 1 species
AUUGAACGCUGGCGGCAGGCCUAACACAUGCAAGUCGAGCGAGCGGCGGACGGGUGAGUAAUGUAUGGGGACUGCCCGAUCGAGGGGGAUAACUACUGGAAACGGUGGCUAAUACCGCAUACUAUCGGAUAACCCAUAUGGGAUUGGCUAGUUGGUGGGGUAAAGGCUCACCUAGGCGACGAUCUCUAGCUGGUCCGAGAGGUUGAUUAGCCACACUGGGACGGUGACAGGGCCCAGACUCCUACGGAGGCAGCAGUGGUGUAUAUUGCACAAGGGGCGCAAGCCUGAUGCAGCCAUGCCGCGUGUAUGAAGAAGGCCUUAGGGUUGUAAAGUACUUUCAGCGGGGAGGCGUUACCCGCAGAAGAAGCACCGGCUAACUCCGUGCCAGCAGCCGCGGUAAUAC